rnacentral:rRNA from 1 species
CCUACGGGUGACAGCAGUGAGGAAUAUUGGUCAAUGGACGAGAGUCUGAACCAGCCAAGUAGCGUGAAGGAUGACUGCCCUAUGGGUUGUAAACUUCUUUUAUAAAGGAAUAAAACGAGGCACGUGUGCCUUUUUGCAUGUACUUUAUGAAUAAGGAUCGGCUAACUCCGUGCCAGCAGCCGCGGUAAUACGGAGGAUCCGAGCGUUAUCCGGAUUUAUUGGGUUUAAAGGGAGCGUAGAUGGGUUGUUAAGUCAGUUGUGAAAGUUUGUGGCUCAACCGUAAGAUUGCAAUUGAUACUGGCAGUCUUGAGUACAGUUGAGGUAGGCGGAAUUCGUGGUGUAGCGGUGAAAUGCUUAGAUAUCACGAAGAACCCCGAUUGCGAAGGCAGCUUACUAAACUGUGACUGACAUUGAUGCUCGAAAGUGUGGGGAUCAAACAGGAUUAGAUACCCGGGUAGUC